CCACCGCCACCACCGUAGCACCGCAUACGUGCAAACAUGCAUACGUACGUACACGCCGUGGCGGUGAGUUGUGCGUAUGCGCGGCGCCCGCGUACAGCCCGUGACGUCCGUCGACGAUAUAGUCGCUGAAGUCGACGCCGCCGCCCGCCUGCCGGCCCGCAGCACACGCGCGCGCGCCCUAGACAGUUUGUACGCCGCGCUUGUGUGUGUUUGCUUGUGAGCGCGCGCCCGCUCGUGUUUGUGUGUGUGUGCGUGUGUGUCAGAGCGUGUAUACUUUUGCGUGUGCGGGCGUGCGGUCCCGUGUGCCCGUGUGCGUGUGCUUGCGCUAGCGCGUGCGGGAGUGUGCGAGAGUGUGACGCGCGCGAUAAUCCAACGACGGAGACCACGACGGUGCUCUCGUCCUGUGUUAGUCGUGCCGCGACGAUGGAAUACGGGCCAGAAAUAACGUGAUUAUCCGCGCGGCCCCGUGGGCGAUCGCAGUCGCGUUUUAUACCGUUAUACAUUAUUUAUUAUUUAUUAUAUUCCGCGCUGUAUUUUUUCGUUUAUUACAUCUAAGUCUGCCGGCACCCUACUGCAAUAGCGCCCCCCGCGUGUGUGCGCGCCGUAUUUUCCGCGGCCUCCUCGUCGUCGUCAUCGUCGGCGGAUCGCUACACCGCCGCGCACCAGAGACCAUCGGCAGCGGCACCGCGCGACACGCGUCGCCGUAGUGUUAUAUCUGCACGAGCGUCGGCCGCGGUGCCGAUCGCACGCGGCGGCGGUGGUCGUGGCGUUGUAUCUCGCUCGCAGCUGAUUGUAAUAUUAUUAUUAUACUGUCAUCAUAAUAUCAUCACACGGCAUAAUAAUUUACGUAAUAAUUUAACGCGCAGCAUCGCGUACACCGCGCCGCCCAGUGCAGGUGGCCGUGGUGGUAGUGGCGGCGGCGACAUUUUUUUCGCGCCUUGUCCGCUCGCUCGUCGUACGUACCGUGCCGCCGAACAAUGUAGUAACGCAUCAAUCACUUCGAACACGCGAACCUCCGGACACCGGUGCCGUUUGAUUGCGGUAUCGUCGUCGUCGUCUUCGUCUUCGUCGUCCCGUGUGUCGGGACGUGUGCGUGUGUGUGCGUGCGCGGUGCGAUCGUAGUGACGUGUUUGCCGACCGGGUUUCGGCACAUAUAGGAAAUCUGGCUGGGACGGAAGCGGCCGGGCGCCGGUGCGGGUGGCGGUGGGGAAGGCGGCGGCGGCGGCUGUGCUGUUCGCGCAAUGGCGGAUUGUCGAGGGCACGUAUUCACCAAGAAAACCUUCCACCUACCGGCCUACUGUCACAAUUGCACCAAUUUAUUGUGGGGCGUCGUGACGCAGGGCAAUUUCUGCACAGUAUGUAAUUAUAUAGCUCACGAAAGUUGCCUAAAAAAACCCGGCAUAUCACCUUGCCAUAGUCUAGCAGCUAGUUUAAUUAAGAAUCCAGUAUCACAUUGUUGGUCCGAACCAGUAAGAAUUAGAAACCAAAGAUGUUGUAACGUUUGUCGGAAAAGAAUUGAUGGUCGAACAUUCAGCGUUACAUGUGAAAUCUGUCAUUACUAUACCCAUGUCGAUUGUAUAUCAUCGGCAGUGGCGGAUUGUAAAGAAACAGCUACCUAUCACCCCGGAAAGUUGUUGGAUUCCGUGCAUCAUGAACAUCAUUGGAGAGAAGGAAAUCUUAGACCUGGUGCAGUGUGCUACGCUUGUGCCAAACCAUGCUGGACCACCGAUUGUCUGGCAGGAUUUCGAUGUGAAUGGUGUGGUAUAACAGCUCAUGCAACAUGCCGAAGUCAAAUAGCUUACGAAUGUGAUUUCGGUAUACUCGGUCCAAUAUAUUUACCACCACACGCAGUUAGCAUUCCACGGACUGAGGUGCCAAUGGAGUCAAUUAUUGGUGUACAAGUGCGCAGAAAAGAAAAGGCUACGCCUCGAAGUAUUUCGAUUGAAUUUAGUAGUGGUGAAAGUAAAACUAAAGACAUUGAAGAUGAAGAAAUGUAUGAAGUUGAAAAAAAAUUAGAAGAUAAAAAUGAAGAACUAGUUAAAGUGUAUGACGGCGACGCAUCAUACCUAAAACAUACAAGUUUCACGGUCAAAGUUCCAAAAGCAGUAAAAACCGAGACGCUCAUUUCUACAAUACUUCAAUCAUUAAAUAUCUCUCAAUCUGCAGAAAACUUUUAUUUGACUGACGCGUAUGGUUUAAACGAACCAAUACUGGAGGACCCUAAUCCAAUAAAUAACGUUACUAGAUUAGGAGGCAAGAAACCUGCCGUUUUUCUACGCUUAAAACAAGACAGUCACGGUGGUUUGGUUAGAGUUUAUCCUGGGCGCUUGCAGACUGAUAUACCUUUUUGCGUAGUUUCCGUCGAUCGAAAAACUACGGCCAAAGAUCUGAUCGUUGAAUCUUUGACUCGGUUCGGCUUUACUUCACACAAUUCAACAGACUAUAGACUCAGCCAGCUUUUGUUGGAACAUGGAGUGACGGAACGAGUACUAGAUUUCGAUGAAAAACCAUUAGAUAUAAUAAAAAAUAUUGGGCAAGAAUCUCUCCGACAAAUGGAAUUAAUGCGGUUCUAUUUGCAACUUAAGCAGGAUCCUCAUGGUCCUAAUAUCGCUUUAUUUAUUGGAAAUUUACCCACAAAUUUAUCUCAGCGGACAUACGAAAAUAUAUUAAUGACAUUUUUAGGAGAAGAUUGUAGGUUUAUAACUAUUGGACCAAUUUAUUACGAGUAUGGUUCGUUGGUAAUUAUGUACAAUGAAACUAAAAUUGCUGUGAAUGCAAUGUAUCUUCUUAGAGGCGCUGAAUAUGAACACAAACAUCUGUUAGUUAUGUUAUUACCAAACAUUGACCCAGUAAUGGUACCAGCCGAAACACAACCAUUAUUAGUAUUUGUAAAUGUCAAAUCAGGUGGUUGUCAAGGUUUAAGCUUAAUAUCUAGUUUCCGAAAGCUGCUUAAUCCUUAUCAAGUUUUUGAUUUGGGAAACGGAGGACCACUUCCUGGGUUGUAUGUGUUCAGACAUAUUAGAGAUUACAAAAUCUUAGUUUGUGGUGGCGAUGGUACGAUUGGCUGGGUGCUUCAGUGUUUGGAUAAUGUGGGCCAAGACAGUGAAUGUUCAUCACCACCAUGUGCUAUUGUUCCAUUAGGAACUGGUAAUGAUUUAGCUCGUGUACUGAAAUGGGGCGCCGGGUACAAUGGUUCGGACGAACCAAUACAAUUAUUAGAGGAUGUCAUUGAAGCAGAAAAAAUUAGAUUAGAUAGAUGGACAGUGGUUAUUCACCAUGAAGAUAGGGCGGAUGGUCGACCAAUUCAUGUGCCUAAUUCAGUUGGGAUGAGUGAAGACAAUACUCAGAUUUUUGUUAUGAACAAUUAUUUUGGCAUCGGUAUUGAUGCCGAUUUAUGCCUUGCAUUUCAUAAAGCUCGGGAAAAAAAUCCAGAAAGAUUUAACAGUCGAAUCGGCAACAAGAUUGAAUACUUAAACGUUGGGUUACGGAAAAUAAUUCAUCCACCUUGUAAAAAUCUUCAACAUGGAGUUCGUCUGGAAGUGGAUGGAAAAUUAGUUGUACUUCCUCAACUCGAAGGACUUAUUAUUUUAAAUAUUUUGAGUUGGGGGUCAGGAGCUAAACCAUGGGGACGAAAUUGCAACGAAGAACAAUUUUCUACACCAAAUCACUGGGAUGGUAUGCUAGAGGUUGUGGCUGUAUCUGGUGUAGUUCAUUUAGGACAGAUCCAAACAGGGCUUAGAUACGCUAAACGAAUUUCUCAGGGUGGACAUGUUAAAAUUCAUUUAACUAAUGAAGUUCCCGUACAAAUUGAUGGUGAACCUUGGGUCCAAGGACCUGGUGAAUUAGUAAUUCUCAAGUCUGCUUUAAAAGCGACCAUGCUUAAGAAAGUAAAACGUACAGAACGGAAGCAAACCUCUCGGACACGAGCUGUUAAAUAUAUGGCCAAUCUACAAGCAGUUGCAUCUGUUAAUGGCAGUGAGAACGAAUGAAACUAAAAAUUCUUAAUUCCUUUCAUAACCUAUCCCUCGGCAGCAUACAAAUUGUCAAACUGGUUAUCGAAUAUUAUAUCUGUGUUAUUCAUGCAUUUGAUCAUUUUUAUAGAACCAACAUUAUUGGUGGCAUAAUCAUUUGUGGGCUCAAUUCGUUGUGGCGACUUCCGAGUGGUCAUAAUGGAUCUCAAACGAUUACGUCAUUGAUUUAAAUCGUUCGUUGGUUAAGUUUUUGGUUUAAGUUUGUAUAUUAAGAAUAAUAAACAAUUUUUGCUUAUUUAAACUACUAUUGUUCGCAAUUAAUUAACUAUAGGAUUAUAGUAAUUUUAUUUUUAUCGAUUUUCAUCGAGUUAUUGUAAUAUUUUAAUUAAUGUAAAAAUAAAAAAAAUCCCCUGUAAA
rnacentral:misc_RNA from 1 species